UACGUAGGGUGCGAGCGUUGUCCGGAAUUAUUGGGCGUAAAGGGUGCGUAGGCGGCGGAGUAAGUUGGGUGUGAAAUCCCGGGGCUUAACCUCGGAAUUGCAUUCAAUACUGCUUCGCUUGAGUACUGGAGAGGAGGCUGGAAUUUACGGUGUAGCAGUGAAAUGCGUAGAUAUCGUAAGGAAGGCCGGUGGCGAAAGCGAGCCUCUGGACAGUUACUGACGCUGAUGCACGAAGGCCAGGGGAGCAAACGGG
rnacentral:rRNA from 1 species